rnacentral:rRNA from 1 species
UACAGAGACUGCAAGCGUUAUUCGGAUUCACUGGGCGUAAAGGGUGCGCAGGCGGCCAACUAAGUCAGACGUGAAAUCCCUCGGCUUAACCGGGGAACUGCGUCUGAUACUGGAUGGCUUGAGGUUGGGAGAGGGAUGCGGAAUUCCAGGUGUAGCGGUGAAAUGCGUAGAUAUCAAGAGGAACACCAGUGGCGAAGGCGAGUCCCUGGACAAUACCUGACACUGAGGCACGAAAGCCGGGGGAGCAAACAGG